UAGGGAAUUUUGCGCAAUGGAGGAAACUCUGACGCAGCAACGCCAUGUGUGGGAUGAAGCAUUUCGGUGUGUAAACCACUGUCAGCAGGGAAUAAAUGGUCUCUUCGGAGGCAGUUGAAUGUACCUGCAAAGGAAGCACCGGCUAACUCUGUGCCAGCAGCCGCGGUAAUACAGAGGGUGCGAGCGUUGUCCGGAAUCACUGGGCGUAAAGGGCGCGUAGGCGGCCUGGUAAGUAGGGGGUGAAAUCCUGCGGCUCAACCGCAGGGCUGCCUUCUAAACUGUCAGGCUGGAGCACGGUAGAGGCAGAUGGAAUUCCCGGUGUAGCGGUGGAAUGCGUAGAGAUCGGGAAGAACACCAGUGGCGAAGGCGGUCUGCUGGGCCGUUGCUGACGCUGAGGCGCGACAGCGUGGGGAGCAAA
rnacentral:rRNA from 1 species